GGACUACUGGGGUUUCUAAUCCUGUUUGAUCCCCACGCUUUCGUGCCUCAGUGUCAAUAUAUGAGUAGCCAGCUGCCUUCGCAAUUGGUGUUCUAUGUCAUAUCUAAGCAUUUCACCGCUACAUGACAUAUUCCGCUGACCUCCACAAUAUUCAAGACUGAUAGUAUCAAUGGCAGUUUCCAAGUUAAGCUCGGAGAUUUCACCACUGACUUACCAACCCACCUACGCACCCUUUAAACCCAGUGAAUCCGGAUAACGCUUGCACCCUCCGUAUUACCGCGGCGGCUGGCAC
rnacentral:rRNA from 1 species